UGUAAUGGGAUAUGGGUUGGGCACUACAAGUCCCAGCAGCCCCAGGGCUCUUAAAAGGAAGUAGUAAGGUUGUGUUUGUUCUUUUUACUUCCGUUUUUUGAUUUUGGGGAAAGGUGGCAUGGAAGGUAGAGUGGCAUGUAGGUAAGGAGAUUUGAGUGAUGCAUUCUUACUACUUUGUUAGUUUUAUCGAUUGCAUAAUGAAUUGAUGUUGUGGUAGAUGUUACUUUGGGGAUAUGAGCGCAGAUAAUCAUUGCCGCCAAAUACCGCGGGAGCGUUGCUGAGAACUGAGAAUAUGCUGUACCGACUAAUAUGGUGUGACUGGAUUAUUGCCUGACUGUGGCCUGACCAUCUUGUCGAAAUAGUGGAUGUGAAAGGUUUGCAGUGUGAUUGCUGUGAGCUUGGCUGCUGUGAGAACACUUUGGCUUCUAGGCCCUUCUUUCACUUUCUUAGGCAACCUGUGGCCACCUAGGGCCAGUUUUCUUUUAUUUCUUUUUCCUUAUUUUGUGGGCAUUUACAUCCAAGGGUAUGUGAUAUGUUUUAACAUGUUUGCCUUGUCUUUAAUAAAAAUGU